rnacentral:misc_RNA from 1 species
CCCAGGAGCAGCCCAUCUAGAGGGAGCAAAACGAUCUGCCUGGAUAUAUGAUUGAAGUCCUUUAUUUAAUGCAUAUUGAUACAGAACCAUGUUACUCACCAUUUGUUGUCUCAUCCUAGUGAGUUGACCCUCAUGUUUCUGGGGAUAUUUAAGAAAAAGAAAUCGACUGACAACCCAUUUCAGAUAAGCGUCUCCUAGAAGUUCUGCUCUCUCAUAGCAGAAUGUCUCUUGGCAUGAAGCUGCAGUCAAGGCUUCCAAGAUCUUUGAAGCAGGGACUGAAUAAUCUAUCAUAUCCUUAAGUUGAACUGCAAGCAGCAUGCUUUCAACCCUCCUCAUUAUUGAUGGCAAUCUUUGGGCACCUCGAACAAGUGAUCCAGGAAGAGGGUGUACUAAACAUAGCUCAGGAGGAAGAAAAACAUAAUAUGUUUUGUCAAGAAUUUCUUCAGAUUCACCUUCAUUUGAUUCUGAGUGUUCAAACCGAGGAGAUAAAAGAUUCUUGCAGUAUGAAACACCGCGUCCUCUCAUUAAUGGUUGUUGCUUAAAUAUCAAUUCAACUCCAUACUUUUGCUUAUAAUAAUCAGCAUAUGAGCUAUACUCUAAAGGACCAAGAUAACCCUCUUUCCUUGGAAAUGAGUUCUCUGCAGUCAUGUCAUAGCGUAUUGAAUCCACAUAGAACCUUUUCCCAGAGUGCGCGGCUGUUACAAUUCUCCCUACCAAAUCUUCAGCAUCAACACAAGUAUCAGCCAUCAUCAGUUUGCCUUUGGGCAACCCCACUUUCUCUGUUUCAGUUCCAUCCCGAUUAGGAACCAGUCCAGAAGCUUUCACAACAUCAAAUUGUGC